GUUCAAACUGAUAACCUAUUAGCAAUAUAAUCAAUUUACAUUUUGCUUUACUUUGGCAUUUGCAGUGGUUGAAGCACCAGGGUUCAUCUGUAAGGGGAUGGGAUUCCAGAACACUGCAGGUCCUGAUGGUCACCAAGCCGUUGCCAUCCGAGUUAACUCUGAUCUGUCAGUGUUCCAUAACUGCAGGUUUGAUGGGUAUCAAGAUACAUUAUUGUACCAAGCCGGGCGCCAAUUCUACCGCAACUGUGUCAUUUCAGGCACCAUUGAUUUCCUCUUCGGUUACGGCGCAGCUGUGAUCCAGAACUCAUUGAUCAUAGUCAGGAAGCCUAAUCCAAACCAAUUCAACACAGUGACAGCAGAUGGCAAGAAGGAAAAGGGGCAAACCACUGGACUUGUUAUCCACAACUGCAGAAUUGUACCUGAGGCAAAGCUUGUCCCUGAGAGACUCACUGUGAAAACAUACUUGGGCAGGCCCUGGAA
rnacentral:misc_RNA from 1 species